AAUAGCUCUCAGUUCUAACACAUAUUAUAUUAUUAUUUUUACUUGUAAGUAUUGUAUUAUUUAUUUGUUGUAGUGGCCUUAAGGAAAAUACACAUAUAUAUUUCACAAUUUUACACACUUUAUUGAUUAUUUCUAGUGUAAGUGGCAAAAAGCGUGAUGGCUGAUAUCCGAAAUUUCAAGUUUGAAUUCUAAUUGAUUUAUAUUUACAAUUAAAUUUAUUUCUAAAAGAAAAUAAACAAGUGUAAAACAUGCCAUCUAC
rnacentral:lncRNA from 1 species